rnacentral:rRNA from 1 species
UAGGGAAUCUUCGGCAAUGGACGCAAGUCUGACCGAGCAACGCCGCGUGAGUGAAGAAGGUUUUCGGAUCGUAAAACUCUGUUGGUAGAGAAGAACGUUGGUGAGAGUGGAAAGCUCAUCAAGUGACGGUAACUACCCAGAAAGGGACGGCUAACUACGUGCCAG